UAUGCACCUCUCUCCCUUCUUGGCCCUCCUCAGCCUCUUCUCUUCCCAGAAAGCCUGGUCUUUGGCUCUGGUUUGUAGAUCCUGGCUAAAGAAACUUCCAAAUGCCCACCUUGGUGGUGAGAGGGCGCUGUGCCUGUAGGCUCCGUGGUCUUGGGAGGGGCCCUGAGGCCUAGGGGGAACAGGGGAAUCCUUGUGUGAGGCACACACAGAGCUGCUCCCACAGCGGCAGACCUGCGACCUAUUGCUGUUGGAUGGCUCUCCCAGGAGCAGAGGGAUUUUUCUUUGUAAAGAAAGACAGGAUCGUUAUGAAAACUGCUGCUUUUUUGAAAGAGGCUUUAUGGCUUAUGUACGAUAAGCGCCGUGGUCCAGAGGAAACAGAAGGACACAGGAACAUCUGUCUGCCACCAAAUCAACCAAUCCACAAGCAUUUAUUGAGCACCUACUAUGUGUCAGGGCUCAGUGAGUGUUCCAGGAACUGACUUUCCAUAGUAUGAUGACCUGUAAAAGCAGCCCUUCCAUUUACAUUUCAAACUCCAAGUCAGCCGUGGCCGUGUCUGAAUGAGAGCGGUACAGGAUAAUGGGUCAAAUGUAAUUAGCGGGCCAAAUAGCUGUACGGUCCAGGCUGAUUUAUUUUGUGCCCAUCAGAUUCCAAGAACCUCAGUGUUUAAAGGUCUAGACUUGUCUUCCUGACAACGGGCAUUCGGUAAGGACCCUGACCAUGAAAACCUGGGCUGCUCAAGUCAAGUCAACAAGCACUUAUAAGCUCCCACUAUGUGCCAGGCACUGUGCUAAGUACCACCAACUGUGUAUUUGUGAGGCCACCUGGGUGAAGUGCACAACCAUCGCAACACCGGUGCUUGUGAGAGACCACCAAAGUCACGGUCACUUCCACGCUAAGCCAAGUUUCUCUUAUGGAUGUCCCUUGAUGAAAAACUCUUGUACUCAGCCCCUUUGCUCAGCACUAGAGUCCCUACUGAAAAAUAGGAGAAAAAAUCCUUUGAACAUGUUGGGUAUUCCUUCCAGCAUCACCAAAGAGGGGAAAUAUGGAGGGGCAAAACCCUGCCCCCAAAACCCAAAACCCAAAUAACAAAACUAGGCAGAACUAAAAUCCUUUGUUCUUAACAAGAAAUCCAGCAAACGUCUUAAAAAUGAUUUGGCAAGAGACAAGGGUUGAGGCAAAAGGGGACAGAUUAGCAGCAUUGGUAUUGGAGGCCUAA